ACUCCUACGGGAGGCAGCAGUGGGGAAUAUUGCACAAUGGGCGCAAGCCUGAUGCAGCGACGCCGCGUGAGGGAUGACGGCCUUCGGGUUGUAAACCUCUUUCAGUAGGGAAGAAGCGAAAGUGACGGUACCUGCAGAAGAAGCACCGGCUAACUACGUGCCAGCAGCCGCGGUAAUACGUAGGGUGCGAGCGUUAUCCGGAAUUAUUGGGCGUAAAGAGCUCGUAGGCGGUUUGUCGCGUCUGUCGUGAAAGUCCGGGGCUUAACCCCGGAUCUGCGGUGGGUACGGGCAGACUAGAGUGCAGUAGGGGAGACUGGAAUUCCUGGUGUAGCGGUGGAAUGCGCAGAUAUCAGGAGGAACACCGAUGGCGAAGGCAGGUCUCUGGGCUGUAACUGACGCUGAGGAGCGAAAGCAUGGGGAGCGAACAGGAUUAGAUACCCUGGUAGGCGUAG
rnacentral:rRNA from 1 species